rnacentral:rRNA from 1 species
UACGAAGGGGGCUAGCGUUGCUCGGAAUCACUGGGCGUAAAGGGCGCGUAGGCGGAUCUUUAAGUCGGGGUGAAAGCCCAGGGCUCAACCCUGGAAUUGCCUUCGAUACUGAAGAUCUCGAGACCGGAAGAGGUUAGUGGAACUGCGAGUGUAGAGGUGAAAUUCGUAGAUAUUCGCAAGAACACCAGUGGCGAAGGCGGCUAACUGGUCCGGUUCUGACGCUGAGGCGCGAAAGCGUGGGAGCGAACGG